rnacentral:tRNA from 1 species
GGGCUUAUAGUUUAAUUGGUUGAAACGUACCGCUCAUAACGGUUCUAUUGUAGGUUCGAGCCCUACUAAGCCUA